AUUGAACGCUGGCGGCAUGCCUUACACAUGCAAGUCGAACGGUAACAGGCCGCAAGGUGCUGACGAGUGGCGAACGGGUGAGUAAUACAUCGGAACGUGCCCGAUCGUGGGGGAUAACGCAGCGAAAGCUGUGCUAAUACCGCAUACGAUCUACGGAUGAAAGCGGGGGAUCGCAAGACCUCGUGCGGACGGAGCGGCCGAUGGCAGAUUAGGUAGUUGGUGGGGUAAAGGCCUACCAAGCCGACGAUCUGUAGCUGGUCUGAGAGGACGACCAGCCACACUGGGACGGAGACACGGCCCAGACUCCUACGGGAGGCAGCAGUGGGGAAUUUUGGACAAUGGGCGCAAGCCUGAUCCAGCCAUGCCGCGUGCAGGAUGAAGGUCUUCGGGUUGUAAACUGCUUUUGUACGGAACGAAAAGGUUUCUUUUAAUACAGGGAACUGAUGACGGUACCGUAAGAAUAAGCACCGGCUAACUACGUGCCAGCAGCCGCCGUAAAAC
rnacentral:rRNA from 1 species